UCCAACACCACUAAUCCCUAAUUCCGUCCUCUCCCUCCCACUACCCUCAGCCGCCACCAACCAGUCCAUCGUCGCAUCCUCCGUGCAAGCAGCAGCCGGCUCGCCGCCUCUGCCCCUACCUUCUCCACUCCUCUUUCUCUCAUCUUCCGCCCCAAGCUUGCACUCUCAUCCUGCCCGUCGUGGUGCGCCCGCGGUGCAUUUUGCCUCAUGUGCACUCCGAGACACUGCAACGACGGUGAAGAGGAGGAGAAGGCGGCUACAGUGACCAUGGAGAUGGUAGAUCUGGCGGUGGGCGGCUAGCAAGGUGAAGGCUAGCUAUGGGUCGAGGGCAGCAGCCAGCAAGCAAGGCGGAGGUCCGAUUUGUCGGAGCCAGCAAGACCCUUAGAAAUGGUGAUGGGUGGAAGACCAGAAGAAAACGAGGUGGAAGUUUCUUACAUGCUACUAAAAGAGUACUACUCCAUCCGUCCCAAAAUAAGUACAGUUUUAACACUUUUCAUGCUCAACGCUCGACCGUUUGUCUUAUUUGAAAAACAAUUAUGAUUAGUAUUUUUAUUGUUAUUAGAUGAUAGGAAUUCCUAGAUGAUAAUACAUGAAUAGUAAUUUAUGUGUGACUAAUAUUUGUAAUUUUUUUUUAUAAAAUUUUCAAAUAAGACAGAUGGUCAAAACGCGGGAUACGGAUAUCUAUAGCUGCACUUAUUUUGGGACGGAGGUAGUAUCAAAUUUGAAACUGACUUUACUGCUUUGGAUUUUGGACC